rnacentral:rRNA from 1 species
UGCAAGUCGAACGGGAUUAUUUUUGUAGCAAUACAGAAAUAAUUCAGUGGCGAACGGGUGCGUAACACGUGGGCAAUCUGCCGAAAAGUGGGGGAUAGCUCGCCGAAAGGCGAAUUAAUACCGCAUGUGGUGAGGGACGACAUCUUCCUGAAUCCAAAGCCGGGGCAACCUGGCGCUUUUUGAGGAGCCCGCGGCCUAUCAGCUAGUUGGUGAGGUAACGGCUCACCAAGGCUUUGACGGGUAGCUGGUCUGAGAGGACGACCAGUCACACUGGAACUGAGACACGGUCCAGACACCUACGGGUGGCAGCAGUCGAGAAUUUUUCUCAAUGGGGGAAACCCUGAAGGAGCGACGCCGCGUGGAGGAUGAAGGCUUUCGGGUUGUAAACGCCUGUCAUUUGAGAACAAGGUGCGAGAAUUAACUGUCCUCGCAUUGAUAGUAUCAGAAGAGGAAGGGACGGCUAACUCUGUGCCAGCAGCCGCGGUAAUACAGAGGUCCCAAGCGUUGUUCGGAUUCAUUGGGCGUAAAGGGUGCGUAGGUGGCGCCGUAAGUCGGGUGUGAAAUUUCGGAGCUUAACUCCGAAACUGCAUUCGAUACUGCGGUGCUUGAGGACUGGAGAGGAGACUGGAAUUCAUGGUGUAGCAGUGAAAUGCGUAGAGAUCAUGAGGAAGACCAGUGGCGAAGGCGGGUCUCUGGACAGUUCCUGACACUGAGGCACGAAGGCCAGGGGAGCAAACGGGAUUAGAUACCCCGGUAGUCCUGGCAGUAAACGGUGCACGUUUGGUGUGGGAGGAUUCGACCCCUUCCGCGCCGGAGCUAACGCGUUAAACGUGCCGCCUGGGGAGUACGGUCGCAAGAUUAAAACUCAAAGAAAUUGACGGGGGCCCGCACAAGCGGUGGAGUAUGUGGCUUAAUUCGAUGCAAC